rnacentral:rRNA from 1 species
AUUGAACGCUGGCGGCAGGCCUAACACAUGCAAGUCGAGCGAGCGGCGGACGGGUGAGUAAUGUAUGGGGACUGCCCGAUAGAGGGGGAUAACUACUGGAAACGGUGGCUAAUACCGCAUACUGUCGGAUAACCCAUAUGGGAUUAGCUAGUAGGUAAGGUAGUGGCUUACCUAGGCGACGAUCCCUAGCGGGUCUGUGAGGAUGAUCAGCCAAACUGGGACUGAGACAGGGCCCAGACUCCUAGGGGGGAAGCAGUGGGGAUUAUGGCACAAGGGGGGCAGGCCUGAUGCAGCCAUGCCGGGUGUAUGAAGAAGGCCCUAGGGUUGAAAAGUAUUUUCGGUCGGGAGGCGUUACCGACAGAAGAAGCACCGGCUAACUACGUGCCAGAGCCGCGGUAAUAC